rnacentral:rRNA from 1 species
GACGAAUGCUGGCUGCGUGCUUAACACAUGCAAGUCGAACGGUGAACCAGGGCUUGCCCUGGGGAUCAGUGGCGAACGGGUGAGUAACACGUGGGCAACCUGCCCCUCACUCUGGGAUAACACCGGGAAACCGGGGAUAAUACCGGCUACGACCUCAUGCGACAACUCGUGAGGUGGAAAGAACUUCGGUGAGGGAUGGGCCCGCGGCCUAUCAGCUAGUUGGUGGGGUAACGGCCCACCAAGGCGACGACGGGUAGCCGGCCUGAGAGGGCGACCGGCCACACUGGGACUGAGACACGGCCCAGACUCCUACGGGAGGCAGCAGUGGGGAAUAUUGCGCAAUGGGCGAAAGCCUGACGCAGCGACGCAGCGUGAGGGAUGAAGGCCUUCGGGUUGUAAACCUCUUUCAGCGGGGACGAAGCGAAAGUGACGGUACCCGCAGAAGAAGCCCCGGCUAACUCCGUGCCAGCAGCCGCAGUAACAC